ensembl:miRNA
CUGGUUAGCAUUCUGGACCUGGUUCAUGCCAACUCUGUUGUUGUUAACUAUACCAGGAUGUCCGCAUAGUU